ACCUGAUGGCACUUUUGUAAAUGCACAUGGAUUAGCACUAAGGAGCUAAUUAUUUUGAGAGUUGAGAUCACUUUUUCAAAAAGAAAAAAAAAAAUCUCCCAGGAUCAGGGGCGGCAGCCUCUUUAUAAGCAUUUCCUGGAAACGAGGCCAUAGACUUGGAAGCUGCCUCGACGAAUUGAGCGUGCAGUCGGUUGUGAGAACCAGCACAUCGUGAGAACCAGGAAAUCCCGAAGCAGAACUGGUAAAUGUAUAUGGAGUUCAUGUGUGAUGGUGUUGGGACUCUCACUGGAUAUUAAAGUAAGUCCUAGGAAUUUACCAGAUUUUUUUAUUGAGAUAUUCUUGACAUAGAAUAUACGUAUUGUGAAAUGAUUACUACAGUAAGUUAACAUCCAUCACCACAUAGUUACAUUUUUUUUCUUAUAAGAACUCUUAAUAUCUAUACCCUUAGCUAGUUUCAAAUAUACAAUAAGGUAUUCUUAAAUACAAUAACUGUGCUGUACAUUAUAGC
rnacentral:lncRNA from 12 species